UGCUAUUCCAACACCUCACGACAAGCAAUCCCCAUUGGCAUAACGGCAAAAACAUGUCUUCCUUCAAGUAAACAAUAAACAGUCUGUUCUUGUUCCAUUUGUAAUCGAAAAUAGUGAUCAAUUUUCAAAUUUUAAGCUUAUCGAGAGCCUUUGUCUAUGCCUUUGUGAUGAAUCACUGUUCCCUUGGGCCUGCACGCUAGGUUAAUUAAUUACCGAUCGCCUAAGCUAGCCAAUGGGAAUUUAGCCGGCGGUUCGGCCGGCGAAAAUCGAAAACAUGGGGUGAUGGUUGCAGGCCCACUAUCAGUUGAUCCAGUUCCCUUGGGCCUGCACGCAGGCUACGUCUCGUUUACCAACGAUUUUUCUUGAAACUCAUCUAUUCAAUAUGCAUUCUCCGCCUGAACAUGUGCGGGUUGAGCGGAUGUUUACAAAAACACUUUCGUGAAUAAACCAAGACAACUGACAAAAAAACCCAACUUGAAUUAACUGCCUUUUAGGUAGAUCUGGCGCGACAGGUAUAAAUGGCAGUAUUCCCACGUGUUUCCUUUACUACG